GUUACAUCAAACGGAAAUGGUUAUACUUAAUUGUAGAUUAAUAGGGAAUCGUGUGUAAAUCACGAACUGUCGCGCAACUGUAAGUAACUAAAAAAGGUUUUCAUUUAAAAAAUAUCCACUGUUCUACCCAUAGAAUGAUGAAAAUCGUUACAAGUCAGGAGACCUGCCUAUUCCGAAUGGACAAU
rnacentral:ncRNA from 1 species